rnacentral:rRNA from 1 species
AUUGAACGCUGGCGGCAGGCCUAACACAUGCAAGUCGAGCGGCAGCGGAAAGUAGCUUGCUACUUUGCCGGCGAGCGGCGGACGGGUGAGUAAUGUCUGGGAAACUGCCUGAUGGAGGGGGAUAACUACUGGAAACGGUAGCUAAUACCGCAUGACCUCGAAAGAGCAAAGUGGGGGAUCUUCGGACCUCACGCCAUCGGAUGUGCCCAGAUGGGAUUAGCUAGUAGGUGAGGUAAUGGCUCACCUAGGCGACGAUCCCUAGCUGGUCUGAGAGGAUGACCAGCCACACUGGAACUGAGACACGGUCCAGACUCCUACGGGAGGCAGCAGUGGGGAAUAUUGCACAAUGGGCGCAAGCCUGAUGCAGCCAUGCCGCGUGUGUGAAGAAGGCCUUAGGGUUGUAAAGCACUUUCAGCGAGGAGGAAGGCAUCAUACUUAAUACGUGUGGUGAUUGACGUUACUCGCAGAAGAAGCACCGGCUAACUCCGUGCCAGCAGCCGCGGUAAUACGGAGGGUGCAAGCGUUAAUCGGAAUUACUGGGCGUAAAGCGCACGCAGGCGGUUUGUUAAGUCAGAUGUGAAAUCCCCGCGCUUAACGUGGGAACUGCAUUUGAAACUGGCAAGCUAGAGUCUUGUAGAGGGGGGUAGAAUUCCAGGUGUAGCGGUGAAAUGCGUAGAGAUCUGGAGGAAUACCGGUGGCGAAGGCGGCCCCCUGGACAAAGACUGACGCUCAGGUGCGAAAGCGUGGGGAGCAAACAAG